UACGUAGGGGGCAAGCGUUAUCCGGAAUUAUUGGGCGUAAAGCGUACGUAGGUGGUUUUCUAAGCGCUUGGUUUAAGGCUACGGCUUAACCGUAGUUCGCCUCGCGAACUGGAAGACUUGAGUACAGGAGGGGAAAGUGGAAUUCCUAGUGUAGCGGUGAAAUGCGUAGAUAUUAGGAGGAACACCGGUGGCGAAGGCGACUUUCUGGACUGUUACUGACACUGAGGUACGAAAGCGUGGGGAGC
rnacentral:rRNA from 1 species